rnacentral:rRNA from 1 species
UACGUAGGGGGCCAGCGUUGCUCGGAAUUACUGGGCGUAAAGGGUCCGUAGGCGGUGCGGCAAGUCGAUAGUGAAAUCUCUGGGCUUAACCCAGAGGCUGCUAACGAAACUGCCAUGCUAGAGUGUGAGAGAGGCGAGUGGAAUUACGGGUGUAGCGGUGAAAUGCGUAGAUAUCCGUAGGAACAUCCGAGGCGAAAGCGGCUCGCUGGAUCACAACUGACGCUGAGGGACGAAAGCUAGGGGAGCAAACAGG